rfam:Phaethon lepturus contig54283, whole genome shotgun sequence.
CUGUCUAGUAAACAGGAGAUCCUGGGUUCGAAUCCCAGCGGUGCCU